UACGAAGGGGGCUAGCGUUGCUCGGAAUCACUGGGCGUAAAGCGCACGUAGGCGGCUUGUUAAGUCAGGGGUGAAAUCCUGGAGCUCAACUCCAGAACUGCCUUUGGUACUGGCGAUCUCGAGUCCGGGAGAGGUGAGUGGAACUGCGAGUGUAGAGGUGAAAUUCGUAGAUAUUCGCAAGAACACCAGUGGCGAAGGCGGCUCACUGGCCCGGUACUGACGCUGAGGCACGAAAGCGUGGGGAGCAAACAGG
rnacentral:rRNA from 1 species